rnacentral:rRNA from 1 species
UACAGAGGGGGCAAGCGUUGUUCGGAAUUACUGGGCGUAAAGGGCGCGUAGGCGGCCUGUUAAGUCGAACGUGAAAUCCCCGGGCUCAACCCGGGAACUGCGUCCGAUACUGGCAGGCUUGAAUCCGGGAGAGGGAUGUGGAAUUCCAGGUGUAGCGGUGAAAUGCGUAGAGAUCAGGAAGAACACCGGUGGCGAAAGCGCUCUGCUGGACCUUAACUGACACUGAGGGACGAAAGCUAGGGGAGCGAAUGGG